rnacentral:rRNA from 1 species
GACGUAGGGCGCGAGCGUUGUCCGGAUUUAUUGGGCGUAAAGAGCUCGUAGGCGGCUUGUCGCGUCGAAUGUGAAAUCUCAGGGCUCAACUCUGACAUUGCAUUCGAUACGGGCAGGCUCGAGUUCGGUAGGGGAGACUGGAAUUCCUGGUGUAGCGGUGAAAUGCGCAGAUAUCAGGAAGAACACCAAUGGCGAAAGCAGCUUUCUGGGACGGUACUGACGCUGAGACGCGAAAGCGUGGGGAGCGAACAGG